CUAUUUUUGAAUACUUCAAUUCAGUUGUUUGUGUAUUUUAAUUUAUAAAACUGAACAUUUAUUCAAAAACAUGGAUUCAUAAGUAGAACUUCUUGUUUCUGAAGUUCAGAAAAAAUCUAUUUUAUAUAAUAUGAAAGAUACGAAUUAUCGUAACCGCAUAUUAGUGGACCAAGCGUGGGAAAGUGUAUCCACAAAGGUUGAAAUGCCAAAAUGUACUACGUUCACAACAAACAACUAUCAACUUGGAUCAUCAACUUGAAAAUAAUCGAAAAAUAUUUACGUCUACAAAUCAUCCGCCCGCAACCAGGACGCUCGCGCGCGUUGAAUAUCGCGUCGCCCGCCCGCUCGCAAAAUCGCGUUCACCUAGGACGCACCGUAAGUGUCGCUGUUGUGUUGUACGUACACCCAUUCAGACAAUAAAGAUCAUAACAUAGAUAAUGACGAAAAAUCAAAAUAACAUAGACUGCACUAUUUUAAUAUGGUAAAGUGAUACGUAGAAGUCAAUGUUACGCUUUAUCAUUAUCAGACUGUUUUCCGGGUACUACUACCUCGGUGUUUAAAAAUAAACUAUAUAACGACUCGAAGGUUUAAAUUAAAUCUAUUUUGAAUUUUAUCGCGUCGCUCGCCCUCUCGCCCGCUCGCAAAAUCGCGUUUACCUAGGACGCACCGUUAUGUAUGUUUACUGUUCAGUUUUAGUGUGCUUAAUUUUGUUAAGUGUUUUGGUACAAAAUUUCAAGUCCACUGUGUGGAGGCAGACAACUUUGAAUUUUUCCGCAUCCGAAAUACAUUUUAAUAUGAAAAGUAUCCAGAGAAGUGGCGAUGCUAAUCGAAAAUUAAAAAAGCAAAAAGAAAAAAAAAUUGAAAAUUACAUUAAAAAAACUAAAUGUAUAUCUAAUUUUUAUAAGUCAGACUUAAUACUUCUAAAAGUACCAUAUUUAUAAAAAUGUAUUUAUUUUUUAUUACUUACUAACUAUUUAGUAUUUACUGUAAAUUACAUUUAAUCAAACUGUGAUAUUAUUAUUCAUACAGAAAUUUGCGAUUUGUGAAGCAUGAAUAGUUAUAUUUAUAGUUAGUGAUAUUUUAAACUUGAAAUAAAAAAGUUUAGGCAGAUCAUUUUAACGGGCAAGUAUGCAAAUUUUUAAUUUUUCCUUUACUACAUGGAUAAUGUUAAUUUUUUACUGCUAGGGGCCUUGAAAAAUCGAUUUGCCCAGGGCAUCCGAAAGUCUAAAUCCGGCCCUACCUCGAAAAAUAAGCAGCAAGGGCGCCCAUAUGGGGGGCAAGGGAAGAACAUGUCCCCCCUGAAAAAUGUCAAAAAUCUUGUAAUAUUGUUUAUUAUGA